UUAUUUCAAGAUUACAGAUCAUAAAACUUAUAAAUCACAAUUUAUCUAUCGGUCAUAUAUUUUCAAAUUUGUUGAUCACAUAUUUUUUUUAAUUACAAAUUAUCGAAUUUUAAAGUCACGAUUAAAUAGUUGGUCACAAAUAAAUUAAAUAAUUGGUCAUAUAAACCAAAUAGUGGGUCACGCACCAUCACCACCAACACUAUCACCAUAGCCACUUGUGACCACCCUUACACGUUGCUUUGCCGCCACCACAACAUCACCACCAACAAAUCACCAACACCAAAUCCAAUAUACUACCAACAAAUAUCGUGACAACCACAUUUAUCAGAUCUACUCAAAACAAUUCUGCCCAUACUAACAAACAAUUUCUGCAUUUACAACUAACGAUGAGCACUUUGGAAAGGUUGACAGACCUUUUUAUUGCCAAAUUCGUAAUGACUUCACCACUACCACCAUUUCGUCUUCCAAAAGAAUUAGACAAAGCCGAUGCAUCCAAAAUGACAACAUUUAAAUCCUCAUCAACCAUGGAAGAACUAGCGAAAGAAUCGUCAAGCAAAUCAGCUAGCGCUUACGACUUGGCUUUUUCCUUUUCGUCGGAAUUGGGGCUUUAUCAUCAUUGGUGGUCAUAGAAAUUGAAAGUGAUGAUGGCUAUCUAUGCAAAGUGAAUUUGACGGAGAUGGUGAGGAAAUGGGUUUCUGGGCAAUGAAAUUGAAAGUGUUAUCUCUCUUGUUAAACGGUUUUAGGGUUUGGGUAGUAAAUGUGGGGUGGACAGAUUUUAUAAUAAUAUUAUUAAUACAAAUAAUUAAAUUAAUACCUAAUAUUUGAACAAAUAAAUUUAAUACCUGAUUUAUGAAUUGUAAUCUUUAAAUAUCUCUUGUGAUGUAAUUUCCUCAAUUAGAAAUGUACUCAAGACUGCUAGUAGAUCAA
rnacentral:lncRNA from 1 species